rnacentral:rRNA from 1 species
GCAGUCGAGCGGUAGAGAGGUGCUUGCACCUCUUGAGAGCGGCGGACGGCCGUGUAAAGCCUAGGAAUCUGCCUGGUAGUGGGGGAUAACGCCUUGAAACGGACGCUAAUACCGCAUACGUCCUACGGGAGAAAGCAGGGGACCUUCGGGCCUUGCGCUAUCAGAUGAGCCUAGGUCGGAUUAGCUAGUUGGUGAGGUAAUGGCUCACCAAGGCGACGAUCCGUAACUGGUCUGAGAGGAUGAUCAGUCACACUGGAACUGAGACACGGUCCAGACUCCUACGGGAGGCAGCAGUGGGGAAUAUUGGACAAUGGGCGAAAGCCUGAUCCAGCCAUGCCGCGUGUGUGAAGAAGGUCUUCGGAUUGUAAAGCACUUUAAGUUGGGAGGAAGGGCAUUAUUCUAAUACGUUAGUGUUUUGACGUUACCGACAGAAUAAGCACCGGCUAACUCUGUGCCAGCAGCCGCGGUAAUACAGAGGGUGCAAGCGUUAAUCGGAAUUACUGGGCGUAAAGCGCGCGUAGGUGGUUCGUUAAGUUGGAUGUGAAAUCCCCGGGCUCAACCUGGGAACUGCAUUCAAAACUGUCGAGCUAGAGUAU